UGUUGUGGGGAAGCUGGAGGGGUUCUGUGGGUGGACGGUGACCGUGCGGCCCAGGGUGGGAGUUUGCUCAACGCCCCGUAACCGUGUGGAAAUGGUGACCCACUGCGCGUCACCACGACUGAGAAGAGGGGGCAGGAGCAAUGCCAACAGUCUCCAAGCCUCUCCCCGUCUCCUGCCCCACGGCAGGGUGCUUCCAGCAGGGCCAGGAGCCCGCGAUGCCCAUGGGCCUCCCCACUUGCCACUUUUGCCCAGCCUUCCCGGUUCCCAUCUCUAAUCUCUCCCCAGCUUGGCCUCCCGAUAAAGAUGGGCUUUAAAGGAUCUUCGCGUUGCUCUUGGUGGAUCCAGACUUACAAAGAUUCAAGGGAAUGACAAACCAACAUUAUCAUGCCGUUCCCCCCUCCCGGGGUUUCCUGGACGAUUACCUUCUGGUAGGUCAGCCUCAGAUGGAGUUUCACAGGAGCUGUGCCCGGCGACUCCACCUUCUUGUCAGUGGAGGGUCUCGUGAGUGCAUAUGCUGUUUUCAGAUAAACCCAGAGCUGUGUCAGCACCUCCAAGGUGAGGGCAAGGUGUGGGCAAGGUGGUGACGGUGAGGUGUGUGAAAACCUUCUCUGGGGGAAAGGCCUUGAUGUGCUUCAUCUUGGAAGUCCUUGGCAAGAUCUGACCACCCCAUAAAGGGCUUGGGAGGAUCUGACUGAGCCCAGGAUGGCGGUCGUAGGAGGAGGCUGAGACCUGAUGAGAAGGUGGACCAGUUGAGUCUUGCUGCAGCAGUCACCUGGGACUUGCUCAGACUCAAACCGAUUAGGAAAAUUCACAUUGAAAGCAUCGUUUAUAAUGGGUCCAAAUCCUGGGGAAGCCGGGCCUGGAGGGAGACAGAGAGGGCGUUUCUCCAUAAGCUGCAAUCUUUCAUGAUCUCCCCUCCCCCUGCGCAGAGUUUGACAACCCUGUCUCCUCCCCAAGACUGAUCAUUGGACUAAUUAGUGGCUAAUCAAUGUUUGAUUAAAACCUAGCCAUCUAUCAUAGGAAGUGCCAUGGUGACUCCAGAAGAAAGUUGCUUGCAGGAGGAUUUCCUCGGGUCUGGCUGGGGACCAAGCAGAAGGGGCCCUCCUCCGGCCAGUCUUCCCCUUGGCUCUUUGGCCUGGGGGCUCUGGAGGUCUGGGGAGGAGAGGACGGAGCAGGCUGGGUGGCUCCCUGUCACUGGGCCGUGCUCCCACCCGCUCCCUGGAAGCUGCCCCCCACGGGGUCUGCAGGUUCCGCCGUCACCCUCCUCCUGCCCUAAAUCUAACCUGCCUUUCUUCUGUAAAUCCUUGGUCGGAUUUCUACACACUUGAACCAGACUGUCCCUGUGAGCUCGAGCGGCCAGGUCAGGGGUGCUUGACCCUGGCUGCAGGUCAGAAACACCAGGAGAGGUUAAAAGGUUCUAACAGACGCAGGAUAGACACACAGACCCAUGAAGAGAGCAGAGAGCCCAGGAGUAGACCCAGCGCCUGUGGGAAUGGCGACAAGUCACUGGGCCGGCAUGGCCUGAGCAGGACCACGGAGGACCUUUGUGAGAUAUGUUGCUGGGCCAAUGGACAGCCACCGAGAGCCAAGGGAACCUUGACCCCUACCUCACACCAGACGCUUGCUCCCUACCUCACACCGUACUUCCAAACCAAUUCUACAUUUGGAAGGCAUCCCGGAGGAAUGUCUGGACUCUUUUCGAUUCAAAGAGCUCUCACCCUACAGGGUGAGUUGACCCGUUGAACAGUGUGGAGCAAGAGCCUCUGUUCAUCAAAGACGCCCCUGAGACAGACGGGCAAGCACAAGCAGAGGGUAUUUGCAGGGCCAGAAAGGGCUCUGAAACCAGUGGGAGAGACUCAAAUGAAUACCUCGCAGAGCAUUUCAGCAGUCGCCAGGGCAGGUCAACAAAGACUGCCCAGGCCACCAGAGUGGCUAAAUGAACGGUCGGCAGCCCCGAGGGCGGGAAGGACAGAACCCUGGAGCAUUCAGACACUGCUGAUGGGAGUGGAAACUGGAGCCAGCGCUUCCCCAAAUGAUCUAACGAAACUGAUCGCAGCCUGCCCAGGCCCAGCUGCUCCACCCUAGGUGUCCCCAGCAGGAGCACACCAGGUGCAGCCACGGGAAGCACAGGCAAUCACUCUGCCGCUCUCUAUAGCUCCAAACUGGAAGCCACCCAAACCGAGCAACCGGCACAGGAAGGUGGCCAAAUAAAUGGUGGUGCAUUCAUACCCUGGAUACCAAAUAGCACCUGUGCACUCAGCGCACCUCACAAAAGCAACGUGGAAAUAAAGACUGCAGGUGUUCCCUCCCUGUGAAGCCAAUCCUGGGGGAGUCCUUGUGGGGACGAGGAAG
rnacentral:lncRNA from 1 species